CAGCAGUGGGGAAUAUUGCACAAUGGGGGAAACCCUGAUGCAGCGACGCCGCGUGAGUGAAGAAGUAAUUCGUUAUGUAAAGCUCUAUCAGCAGGGAAGAAAAUGACGGUACCUGAGUAAGAAGCCCCGGCUAACUACGUGCC
rnacentral:rRNA from 1 species